GAAAGAAAAAAGAUGUUAAUUAAUAUUAGCCCACUGAUACUGAAAUUGGCUUCUUGAUUUCGAAUAAAAAACAUUAUAAAAGAAUAUUCCUAAUCUGAAAAGGGAAGUUGAACAUGGUGGAGCCAUGUAUCACUGCCCACUUGAUUAUUAAAAAUAUCACAAAAAGCAUAAUUUGCACUCUCAAAUUGAAGGAUUUUAUUCACGUAAUUGCAGCUUCUUCCAUAACCAUUCCACAAGAUUCAACAUGGAUGAGAGAAUUUAGCCAACCAGUACAAUACCAAAGCAACAGGUUGCAAGACAACUGAUAAAAUGGGAGCAUGGUAACCUCCCUGAGAUGUAGCAACACGGUACAUGCUAGAAACCAAAUAGUUUUAAGUCCACAUACUCAAAUGCCUACCUACUACUCCACAACCAUAGAUAACUUGAGUGUGAUAUCACAUAAUCCAUUAUCAAUAUUAAGUAGAAAAUUUUGGCUUUCUUUAGCACAACCGAAUGUGCUUUUGUAGCUUCAACCACUUCAUUCUUUGCCGUCAGCGGCACGAAGUGAACCCAAUUGAACUGGUGCUUGAGUUCCCACCACUUUCGAUGAUCCGUAAAUGGACAAGUCAAUGCCUUGAGCCUUCUCUUUCUCUAUCUGUUCCUUGAUCCAGAAGUAUGUAAUUCUCAGCCCAUCCUUCAGCUUCAUUGUUGGUGCCCAACCAAGCUUCUCUUUGAUCAGGGUGUUGUCUGAGUUACGGCCUCGGACACCUUCUGGACCAGGAAUGUGUUGGAUUGGAAGCUUCUUGUUUUCAAAGCUAAGAACAAUCUCAGCCAUCUCAUUCAUGCUAACCAUUUCAUCACUUCCAAUAUUCACCGGCUCUCGGAAGUCCGACUUAGUCAAUCUAAAAAAAAAAAAGGAAGAUUAUUUCAGGAUGAACAUCAGUGGAGAACAUACAUUUGUAGAACCAAAAGGGAGGAAUACAAUAUUCCAGUUCUAUCACAAGCAUAGACAAAACAAACUUUUUUAUCAGAUGAUUAUUCUCAUCUAUUCUAUUCCUCUGCCCAUGAACAAAGUGGUAUUGAAAUUAUUGCAAACCCAAAAAUUUCAAGAACAAUAUUGCAAAUUUCAAUCAUAUAAACCACAUAAAAACGUGAAGUGCUACCUAAGCACGCCUUCCACGCAUUCAUCGAUAAAGGUGAAGGAUCGGGUUUGAAGUCCAUCUCCCCACAUCUCAAACUUGUCGGUGGAAGUGAUAACUUUUCUGCAAAAAGCAGCAGGUGCCUUCUCCCUACCACCUGUUACAGAUGCAAGAAAGCAACAAAAUUAAUAUAAUCCAUAAAGCGACAAAUUAUCAAAAUCUAAGAGGCAAGGGAAUCAAACACAUGGAUAAGCAAUUACAGACAUAAAGAGGUUACCUUUCCAAGUUCCAAAAGGACCAUAAAUGUUAUGGAACCUUCCAAUACGGCAUUCAAUUCCAAAGUCCUUUGUGUAGUGCUUGCACAACUCCUCUGUAGCAAGUUUCUCCAAGCCAUACGCAUCUUGAGGCUAGAGUAAGAAUUGAAAGGAAACUAGAUUAUUUUCAAUUAUUUUACCAGUCAGAAAUAAGAAUGCUGGAUGGUUGUAACCACUGAGUAAGCUACCUCCGCGGGCCAGGCAUCAGAUUCCUUCAAGCUCACAUUAGUGUCCAGCUGCUUAAAUUCAGGGUAAAUACAAGCACUAGAGGCAUAGAAAAACCUCUUAACUCCAUUAAUCCUAGCAGCCUCAAGCAUGUUGAAGCUGAUCAUUGUAUUGUUAUACAUGAUGACAGAGUGGUUGGACUGAAUGAAGCCCAUGCCGCCCAUAUCGGCGGCAAGGUUAAACACAUGGUCUACACCCUUUGUAACCUUCAGGCAAUUAUCCAUGACCCUUAGAUCCACAAGAUGGAAUUCGUGACAGAACAUAUCUUCUGUCAUGUGCUCAUUCUUCUUCCAGUCAGAAGCAAUAAUGUAAUGGCCCUCACUCUUCAACCGGCGAGCAAUAUGGGAGGCAAUAAAACCACCAGCCCCAGUGAUGGAAAUUCGGAGCUUCUCAGAUGGCCAGUAGGGUUCCCUCUCAAGAUUCUCAUACGUGAAAGCCCCAUAGUUGGUUCCCUCAGUGCUUCCCAUACUGUAUCAGUCAAAUAGUUAACAUAACAUCCAAGAUGCAUCAGAUAAAGCACAAAUGUGUUAAAAUCACUGUAUGUAACUGAGUAUCAAAGACUGCUGAAUUAAAAGCUUUACAAUAUGGGAUCCUCAAAAGAAUUAGCAGAGUAAACUUACUAGCCGACACAACUCCUGAUGUGAUAAUUACUCUUCAGUUCUUAUCUAUCUCAAAGGAAUAUGAAAAUCUUUUUCAUGAACUAGCAGUAUUUACAAUCUAAUUCGAGCUUCUAACCCACAACCCAUCAAUAGACCGCUGUCAAAGUUUAUGGAAUCUACUUAGGAGAAAAUUUUAUAGAAAAUGCAGAGAACUGGAGGCAAGAGAAAAGGAAGCAAUUCUAGCCAAACAAUCCUAAUCCACAAACAGGUAUGAAGAAUUAGAAAAACCAUUUUAACCAAGUGAAAAGGAAAAAGCCUUGAAAAAGAGUGAGCAAGGUAUCACUGACAAAAAAGAAAAAUACUGCUGAAAGUUGUUUAUAUUUCAUAUUCGCUAAUAAAAAGGCAAAAAUCAAACUACCAAUGUCAUUAAACAUUAAUUUCAUGAAGAACACGAAAUUUAGCUAAGAUACUAAAUUAAGAGAAAAAAUAUAUAGAAAGGGUUAGACUUUACAUACAUUUUGCCAAACGAAGAAACAAGUACAGAGAAACAAAAAAUAAUAGGAAAAAAGAAUUAACAAAUCAUGAAAACAGAGGAUCCGCAGAUGUGAAAGCAAAGCCCAUUUUCCUCUUCUGACCUUAAAACAUAGCAAAAGGAAACGAGAAACCAAUAAAGAAAAAAAAGGUAUACAAAUCCCAGGAAGAGACGAUAUUGAGUGAGAGAACAGAAGAGCAAAAAGCCAGUCGAGAUCUUUACCCGUGAGGCUUAAAAACUUGGUUUUUGAAGCUUGGCAACAGAAAAGAAGAUAAUGUAAGAGCGGGAAGCAGAGGAGAUAUGUUGAAAAAGAGAGAGAGAAUGAAAAAGGCUGUGACUCAGAAGGCCAUAAUGCUCAUGCUAUAUAUAGAGAGGGAGGUGAAAGAGAGACGGAGGGGGGAGGGGGCAGAUGGGAAAGAACAGACAAACAAGGCCGCUCA
rnacentral:misc_RNA from 1 species